ACGGAAGGCAGCAGUGAGGAAUAUUGGUCAAUGGCCGGAAGGCUGAACCAGCCAUGCCGCGUGAAGGAUUAAGGUCCUAUGGAUUGUAAACUUCUUUUAUACGGGAGCAAUAAGGUCUACGUGUAGGCCGAUGAGAGUACCGUACGAAUAAGCAUCGGCUAACUCCGUGCCAGCAGCCGCGGUAAUACGGAGGAUGCGAGCGUUAUCCGGAUUUAUUGGGUUUAAAGGGUGCGCAGGCGGCACGUUAAGUCAGCGGUGAAAUGCAGGGGCUCAACCCCGGCACUGCCGUUGAAACUGGCGAGCUCGAGUACGGAUGAAGUCGGCGGAAUGUGAUGUGUAGCGGUGAAAUGCUUAGAUAUGUCACAGAACACCGAUUGCGAAGGCAGCUGACUAAUCCGCAACUGACGCUCAGGCACGAAAGCGUGGGGAUCGAACAGGAUUAGAUACCCUGGUA
rnacentral:rRNA from 1 species